rnacentral:tRNA from 1 species
GGGGGUAUAGCUCAGUUGGGAGAGCAUCUGCCUUGCACGCAGAGGGUCAAGAGUUC